AAGUGCACUUUUCCUUUAAGUCAUGUGACCUACAAAGACGCAAUCAGAUGCUGUGAAGAUGUAUUCAACUGUGUGGCUGUGCAGAAGUACACUGCUAACCACACUCCCUGACGCCUUAAGAGAUGCACUGGACAACGACUUUACAGCUCGGGCUUUUAGCUCAUUGGUUAUCGCUGCUCAGCAGUUGGUGGAGAUACAUGGACACGGGUUCCAGCCCAGACACACAAACGCCGCGCCCAGUCUAACACUUGAUGUCAAAGAGGGAUUAGAAGAUUAGAAAGAUAUACAACAACAAGGUGCACUUUCAGAACUAUUUGGUGUUUAAGGAAUAGAUGCUCUUUUGUGAUGGAGAAAAUGGCGCCCAACAUUUCCAAACAUACAGUGGCCUCUUUAUUUCUUCCAUGCUCACUCACCUUCUGCUUCGACGACCGUAGCCCCCGUACCUCCUUGGUGCUCCACCUCGGCGUCCACCCCCGUGAUGGGAAUCAGGGGGUCGACCGUAGCGAGCCAUCUGGACCCGCAGCUCUCGUCCGUCCAAGAGCGCGCCGUCCAUGGCAUCCAUGGCGUCCUCGGCGUCCCGCUUAUCGUGGAAGCGGACAAAGGCAAAGCCCCGGCUGUCCUUGGAGUAGCGAUCCCGGGGGAUGUAGACGUCCCCGACUCGGCCAUACUUCUCGAAGACGUGUCGGAGGGUUUCGGGAGUGGUUCUGUAAGUCAGGUUGUCCACUUUGAGAGAAGUCAUGCCGUCGACGUCGGGCGGAGGCCUUCCGUAACUCAUGAUGCUCCCGUCAAGCCUUCCUUCGACAAACUUCUACUUUUAUACGACGCGCCCGUGUUGUUGUUGGAUAUUGUCGAUGGUUCUUCAGGAGCAGAUGUUCUGAAAGUAAUACUUUGAGGAAAAGAUGGUCUCCACGCAGCCUGUACCCGAGCCAAAAUGGUUAACGGCCUUAAACCUUAUUCUCCUUUUUCCGGAAGCGGCCUGCUCGUGUCUACCUCGAUGGAGCCGGACUGCCACCUUGUGUGCCGGAGUGGAAAGUCUCAGCCCACUGACUUUUGAAAUGUAUUUUAGUUUUUGUAACAAUCUUUAUUACAAUUAUACAAUAAAUGUAUAAAAAUAACAGGAACAAAAGAACAUAGCCAGGGGUUACAUCAAUUUAAAAAAAAAUUAAAUCAGAACAAAUUGUUAAUGUUUUGAGAGCCUUUUGGUUGUCAGAUUUGUUUAUAAGUUGGAUAUAUUGUUCAACACAUUUGAGGAAAACAAUGAAAUUGUUUUGUUUUUACUGCUAUAUUUGCAUUUGUGGGUGAAAAAUUUAGCCAAAAUAAUCAACAGUUUUGGAAGAAAAAAAGCCUUUUCUUAGAUCUCCUAUAAAAGCAAAAAACAAAACAAAGUCUUUAGAGAUGUGAUCAAUAAGGUAUCUGCUGAAGGCCUUCCACAGCUUUUUGGAGUGUGGACAAUGCCAGAAAAGAUCGGGGUUCGAUUCUCCACCCUCUGUGUGGAGUUUGCAUGUUCUCCCCGUGUGUGCGUGGGUUUUCUCCGGGUACUCCUUUCCUGCCCCAUACCAAAAACAUGCAUGUUAGGUUAAUAAGUGACUCUAAAUAUACCAUAGGUAUGUGAAUGGUUGUUUGCCAGCGAUUGGCUGGCGACCAGUCCAGGGUGUACCCCACCUGUCGCCCGAAGUCAGCUGGGAUAGGCAUGCCCCCGCGACCCUAAUGAGGAGAAGCGGCAUAGAAAAUGGAUGGAUGGACUUUCCUCACCUUGUUAGUGAUGAGGUACUUGGGCGGUAUCAUCCAUACCUUAUUCCAGACAAUGUCAUACACAAAGUAAUUCCAGUAAGAUAUUUAUUACAUGUGAGGUACAGACAGGGGCGUACCUACCAUUAAGGCAAAGUAGGCAAUUGCCUUAGGCCCCCAACGAGUAAGGGGGCCCCCAGCCAGCUGCCCCCACCCCAAACAGCACGGGGCAGGGCCACCACUGCCAGCAGAAACCAUAUACUAUAUUCACAUAUAAUUAUGUUAGCAUACUAAACAAAUAACAGAACAAAAAAGAAAGCCAUCUGAAAGCUAAACUCACGUUAUCUACCCCCUCUCCCUCACCCUAUAAUGGACUGUUCCAUGAUGACAGGGUAAUGCCCCUUUGUGAGAAUCAAAGUGUGAAGCUACUUAAAAUGAAGUGAAUUUACCAGAGCGGGUUUGAGAAGAGGAAACGGUGAGAGGACGUCAAAAAAAAAAAUAUUGCCUCGUUGUCGAAGGUCUCGAGAUUCUUUACGGUGUCGGUAGAAAAAAUGCCAACGAGCCGGUGUGUAGCUAACUACCGGUCCAGUCCGCUACCGGAUGAUGCUGAGUUUGGUGCUGCAACACCUCACCUAUGUGUGAAGUCCAGUGAAGUUACAGCAACAAGUAGGACUUUCUUUCUUUGACAUUUAUGCAAGAAAAAACAUGCACUGUUUCUAUCUCACACACACAAACAUAAAUCAUCUUUGAAAACAAUUGGAUUUCUCCCCAUUUCCAUGCCUUCCUCCUGACACUGGGUAUAGUUAUGACUGUUGGCAUAUAUUGUUUAGUAAUUAUUUUUGUUACAUUGGAAUUGUUUAUAUUCACCCUCAAUACAUACAGUACACACAGUCUCUUUCUCUUUCUCUCUGAAACAUGCACACAUCUGUUGUGAUGAUGUCUGGGAUUUUUUUUGUUCAAUAAUAAAUAUCUGGCAUUUUGA